CGUAAUAACGAACUAGUCUCAGCUAGCAGUCAGCAACACUACCAACCUGAGAGGAGUAAUGAGUCUAAUAACUUAGUGAGCAGCCAGCAAUCAGUAGUCGCUAGCAGUCAUGAGAACAUUCCUCCAGAACAAUCCAUCGUUGUAGCGAGUAGCCAUCAAAGCAUCGUUGUUGCCAGCUCUCACCAGAGUGUAACUGUUGCUAGUUCCCAUCAAGCUGAACCGUCAUCACAAGCUACUUGCUCCCACACCGUUACAACCACUCACGCUGGGCACAAGAGGGUUCGCGACUCUGAAGGUGAUGCAUCUAGUCAUACAGAUGACAGCGGGAAAGAUCAUCUUGUAAAGAGAAGUAGAGUCUCCGUAGAACAAGAAGAAACACAAGGUGAAUCAGAAGUUGAGUACCAAGUACCCACUUCUUCUCAGCGAGACCAAGAAGAUGAUGCGAUCACAGUCGACUCGGAAACCUCUAAUGAAGAAGAAGAGGAGGAGGAGGAGGAAGAAGAGAGGACGGAAGCGGAUUGACGGAAGAGGGUCAUGGAGAGUACGAAGAAGGUUAUGAGAUGGAAACUUAUGAUCGCGACGAUGACCAAGAAAUUGGAUACAAUGAAGGAGAAGAGAACAGCGAAGUGGAAGUGAUGGAUAGCCACCGCGGCGGACAGUCCAGUGAAGCAACAAGUAGUCAUAUGCUGCGCAGACCGGCCGCCAUUACACCUCUCUCCCGACAGCAGCAGUUGCUAUUGCCCCAAAAUUAUGAGGACGCUGGUGACGAUAGUAUUGUGCCCAGCACGCCUACUUUGUUCCUACCACACCGUCUGGACGGGUUUGGUGAAGCCGUCAGUUCGCCGCACGUUCCAUCAACCGGUGGACGCUUCACUUUUGUUGAAUCUGGUACACCUGUAUCUAGAGCAGGUGUUGCGCAAGUUGUGUCAGAAGGUAUGGACGACACUACAAUUGAUCUCAGCCAACUGGAGACAGGCCGUUCAGUCCCGUCAACUCCAUUACAAGUAUCACCUCAAGGAGAAGGGAGUGGAGAAAUCGGGCAAAGUGAAGAAGACAAUUUAAUGAAGAAGAACCUCAAGAACGUAACGAGUCCGAAUCUGCUCAAGACGCCAUCAAUGAUAUGUGCGAUGAUGAUGAUGACGAUAACAAUGAAGAUAUUGGAAAUGAUAAUCGUGAUAAUGAUUCCCCCGAGUUGAUCAUUCUUGACAUAAAUGAUGAUAAUGGAGAUGGUAAUGAUCACUGUACAUUUAGUUCAUUCUUCAGCUUUGUUUCUAACUUGAUCUCUUUUUUGUCUCUUAGUUGCCAUCAAUAACAAGAUAGAGUUCACUGAUCAAAACAUUAUACGCCCUAGGAAUGAAACAUUAUUGAAGUGAUUUCUUUUUAAAAAGAAGAAAAUAAAAGCUGUGAAGAUUGCAUCAUGGCUAAAACCUUUAAUUCCAGCUGAAAUCAUAAAAUAAAUAUUUGCGUAGGUCAACUCAAUAUCUGAAUUUAUGAAUUAUGUGAGUGCUAUUUUUUUCUUGUUUAAAGUGAGAGAGAAUUUUCAACACCUUAAAGACUUAUUUUCUUGGCAAACCUUGGUUCACUGGGCCACUGUACAAGGUCUAGAUUAAAAACAUACUUCACCUGCUUUCUUUUCAAAAUUUUACAAAGAAAACUUCUUACACAACAGGAAAUUUGGAAAUUAACUCUUGAACGUUGUAACAUCGAAUAUUUUUAACACAGAUCAAAUAGAAGUUAAAUGAUACAAACUAUGUCUUUUGUUCUGGUGUCAUUUAACCAAUGUUAAUUGUUAACACCUAUAUCUUGUUUAGAAGUUAAUUUCUUGACUUCCCACUGUGUGAUCUGUUUUUCUCGUGAAAUUUAAAGAGAUACAUGUUGCGCAGUGCUUUAAUUCAUACCUUGUAUAGAGGCCCAUUGAAAACAGAAUAAUUAACGUUGCCUUAGUUUUGCAUCACAUUCCUAAGAAGAGUUAUGAAGAAAAAUGUAACAGCACCACCAAAUUAUCAUUUUUAGCUGAUUCAUGUGUACUUAGCAGCUUAUUUUUUUUUUUUUCACAGAGGUAACUUCAGAAGGGGAAAAAACUCAAGCAAGUGGCUCAGGUAGUCAAGGGAGUGGCGUUGAAGAAGAAGGAAGAGAAGCAGAGGCAGCAACUGAAAGGAUCAUCGUUCAGUUGGGAGCGAGAGGCAACACAGCGCGCAGAGUCAGGAGUGGAUUCUCUAACAGAGCAGGAAGGAGCAAUCGCCAGCCUCCUACGCCCAUUGUAUGGGAUGAAGUGCCCUCUACCGCCAUUGCACUUUCUUCUCAAAGGGGUAAGAUUUCUUGCUUAUUUUAAAUUAUGUGCAUAGUUCUUCCAGCUAGCAGGCAGCUGAAAAGAUUUUUCUGGGCUUCACUGUCCUCCAUUUGUACAAGUUCCUCCCUAAAAACUGCCCCUUCUUUCUUCUACUAAAACCUCAAAUCUCCUGCUUUUUUUUCUCUCUAGAAGAGUAAGAAUUUCCUACAAUCAAUAUCACUGAUGAGCUGUCGGCCAAAGUCAUCAAGACACAAUCAGAUUAAUCAACAGUUUUACUUAACUAAGUUAUAACUUCAAAUUUAAUUUAGGCACGAAAAGAAUAACAAAGAAAAAAACCAAAAAAUUCAACGAAAAACAAGUUAAUCAAUACUGAGAAAAAAUUUGAUGAUACUACUUGUAUUUAUCAUGACGGACUUUCCGCAGUGUAUGGAGGAGUUAAUUCUGUGCCUCAAGUUUCUGUAAUUGUCUGAUUGAAUCUUUUGGAAUAAUCCCUAUGUUCGGCCCCAUAAGGGGUUUAAUUCAAAGGAAGUAAAGUGGCACCGAUGACAAAGCCAGGUGGGGGAAAUGGCGUUUGCUGAUUGGUUGCACUCAGCUUCGAGUAUCGUCUUGCUAUGUCAUUUCGACUGUCAACUUUUGAGUGAUUGGGUUUUGAGUAGCUUUUUCUUCUCCUAAGAAUGCCUUUUUGAACUUUUCAAUAAACUUUUAAGUUCUUUCAUAAAAUUUUGUGGAUGAUGAAAUCCACCACAACCCUGCAAAAAUCCCUUGCCACUGUCCCAUUCCGCAUAUCAACAUGAACCAUCUUCAGUCUGUCAGCCAUGAUGACUUGAUCAGUUGAUACCAGGUUACCCCAGCACAAUAGGAAGUGUUGAUUCUCCAAGACUGCAUCAGGGCUGUAUUUGUAAUGAGGUUUAUACUUUUCAUGUAACUCAUGAUCUUUGGCUAGUGCUGGGUGGAUAAUUUGGAAACUUGUGGUUAAGAACUUUAAACAUUACAGACUAAAGGAUUUUAUUAUCUAGAGUAAUUUUCAGUUUUAUUUCCAUUACAAAAGUUACGGUUUGACUAAUAAACUUUAUUAUUCUUUUAGGUGCAAGGGGAGGUCGAAAUGUCCCUCCCAAUGUUUUAGGAGAAAGUCCCGAUUUGCAGCGAGGGUCAUUUAGAGGACGCAGACUGCGUUCUAGAGGAGCUUAUCACUAUCAACCCAGAUUCUAAUCGAGCUGUCAUAAAGCAUCUUCUCAGUCAACAAAUUUCAAAAAAUGAAAGUAGGUCUCAUGGCUUAUUCCAGUUGUCCAUAAGUUUGACCUGGUCUGAACAAAUUCCUAGAUGAAUCAUAAGAUAAGUUCUCAGAGGAUCUUCUCUAAUUUAUUAAAAUUGUACAAUUUAACUGGCUGUAUGUAUGAUCUUUGCUUACAAUUAUUCUAGUGUGUUGCGCUUUGAGCUCAAUGUAAAAACAACUUAUACCAAAAUUAGACAUGAAAUGAGGUAAUUGUUUCCUACCAAGUGAGAAAUACUGAAACAUUCUCCAAAAAAUAUGUACAACACUCCUUGGAAUUUUUUUUGUCUUUUACAGUAAGACCUCAAUUUACUAGACUAGAAUUUAAUGAAUUUAUCCGAUCUCUUCAAGGGCUCCAAGCCAAUUCGAAUUAACAGAUUCCGCAAUUAUUAAAGCGACUCAUUAGCCCUGCGAAAUCUGGUAAAUCAAGGUCUCACUGAUCCUAGUUAUUUUCUAUAAAUUAAUUCUUCUUAAUUGUACAAUGUGCUUUUCAUUGGAUACCAUUUACUUGCUAUCCUAUGCUCUGCCUCAUCCCAAUUACUUUAUUUUUUUCAUCUCUUUGGUUUGAGUUCAUAAGCCUCAUUGUUCUUACUUUGGCUUUUCUGUUUGCAAUUUUCUUCAAAAGUUUGUACCGACCUUGACAGAGUGACCAGAUUAGGCUCUAAAAAUAAUAAUUCUCGAUAGUUGGAGAACUAGACCCGAAUUUUGUCGGCAGGUUUGCGGUCAGCUGCAAAUUGAGGCUAGAAUGUUGACAUUGUUAUUUGAUCGCCGGUUAAUGGUCUGUAAUGUUGAAAACUAAAGAGGGCUUGAGCCCGCCACAAAAAAAGCUCAACUUGGCAUAGCUUAAGUUUAAAAUAUACUUUUCCCGAUUUAAAGUCAGUUUAGGUUUUGCAACUUUCAAGGGACCGCAGCCAACAAAAUUUGGGCCUUUGUGGACAGAACAAUGUUAUAGUGUUGUCAUUGUAGUGCAAAGCACAUAAGUGAUUUCAUCCUGUAUCAUUUGAUAAGGAAGUAAGCAAUGUCACACUCACAACUACUCAAAAUUUUGAUUUGCACUUCUCAAACUGUCUAUUGUCUCUUGCACAAAUUGCCUAGUCUAUGUGUUUUCAACUCAUCAACUGCCUCGUAUCAUAGAAACAAGGCACUCUCUUGUUUCCUUAAUGUAACCUUUUAAGUACGAGCCCAAGACUACAGUUUCCAUGAUCCUUAGACUAUCAAACCCAGAAAUUUGGGGAUUUCCCUAAAGAAUUCAAAUCUUUGCUUUUUUCCAAUGGAAUAGGCUGCAAUUCGUUUGCAGGACAACCAGUUUCUGUUGAGAGGAGUGCAUUCUACGAGUCUAGCCUGGUAAUGACAGGGUUACUGGCAGAAUUUUUUCAUUGUUAUGCCUCUUAAUAGAGCUUUGACCAGAAAAAUUUAGAAAAUCUUGGUUUGAAAAAAGAAAUGAAAAAAGUUGGAAAAGUUGGAGAAUUUUCUUUUCCUUAGUUUGUAGACCCACUUGUUGUUCCAUGAUUCCGGUGGGUUGUAAGUAAAUUGUCUGCUGUGACAAAGCUGGCCUGGCAUGGCAGCUGAUGAGUUAAAAUAAUCUGGAAAUUCAACUUGACAAAAAAUUUGCUAACAAAUGAUAAAUUUGAGAACUGAAAGUUUAGAAUUAGGCAAGCAUAGAACAUCAGCAAUAUCAAGAAGAAAACCCAAUAACUGUUCUUAAAAAAAAAAAAAAAAAUUGAUGCUUUCUUUGUGAGGCAAGUGCAGUGUGCUUGUCGGGACAUUUAUCUGUUUGUACGCAGAGGUAGGACUGGUAAAUUUCAAUUCUUUUAAAAAAUUAAUGCCUCUGUUUUAAGGCCCUCCCUAUUAUUGAUAAAUAGAGUCCAUGCCAGAUAAGUUUUCUCACUUUUAGCUUAAGACAGAAGAUCCGUCAUCUUGAUUCUUGCAUUUACUGUCCAAGCUAAAUCUUCUGGAACAGCUUAAAAGUGCAUAAAUUUAUCUGGCGUGGACUUCAAUAGAUGCAAAAUUUGUAAUGAAAGAUGCAGACCUCAUGCAUUGUAAUUACACAAUGUCAGUUUUAAUUUGAUCCUGUUUUACACCAAUGUUAAUUUUAGAAAACCUUUCAAUGAAAAAAAAAAUCAAAUGUGAUAUUAAUUAUGUGUUUCCUGGAUGUAGAUUUAUAGAUACCUAAACUGAAUUGUAUUUUAUUGUAUAUAUGUUUCUUUUUUCCAGUGAACGAGUUCUAAUAAAUAAAAAAUAAUUUUUUUAUAUUCUGUUUGUGUUCUGCUCAUACUUCCAAUAUCAGGAUCUGCCUUGUAAAAAAUAAUUUGCUUGCACUAUUUUUAUUUGAAAUGUUGAAGAGGUAACUUCUGAAAAGAUAUUGAAUUUUCCUCUCAACGUAAGAUGAAACAAGGAGUUAAAUCAUAGUGAAUGCUCG
rnacentral:lncRNA from 1 species